rnacentral:rRNA from 1 species
AUACGGAGGGUGCAAGCGUUAAUCGGAAUUACUGGGCGUAAAGGGUGCGUAGGUGGUUAAGUAAGUUAUCUGUGAAAUCCCUGGGCUCAACCUGGGCAGGUCAGAUAAAACUGUUUAACUCGAGUAUGGGAGAGGGUAGUGGAAUUUCCGGUGUAGCGGUGAAAUGCGUAGAGAUCGGAAGGAACACCAGUGGCGAAGGCGGCUACCUGGCCCAAUACUGACACUGAGGCACGAAAGCGUGGGGAGC